rnacentral:rRNA from 1 species
GGAUUAGGCAUGCAAGUCGAACGAGGAUAUACUCUUCGGAGUAUAAACCGAGUGGCGAAAGGGUGAGUAAUGCAUAGAUGACAUGCCUUUAGGAUAAGAAUAUCUUUGUGAAAACGGAGUUAAUGCUUAAUAAUUACGAAGCAAAAUCAAUUAGUUUCGUCAAAGGGAGGGCAGCAAUGCCUUUCGCCUAAAGAGUGGUUUAUGUCCUAUCAGCUUGUUGGUGGGGUAAUGGCCUACCAAGGCAAAGACGGGUAGCCGGCCUUAGAGGGUGGUCGGCCACACUGGGACUGAGACACUGCCCAGACUCCUACGGGAGGCUGCAGUCGAGAAUCAUUCGCAAUGCCCGAAAGGGUGACGAUGCGACGCCGCGUGAGCGAAGAAGGCCUUAGGGUUGUAAAGCUCUGUCGAGGGUUAUGAAAUAUAGAUGGGUUAAUACCCCAUUUAUUUGACAAAAGCCCAAAAGAAGCCACGGCUAACUCUGUGCCAGCAGCCGCGGUAAUACAGAGGUGGCGAGCGUUGUUCGGUAUUAUUGGGCGUAAAGAGCACGUAGGUGGGGUUUGUAAGUCAGGUGUGAAAGCCUUCUGUUCAAAGGAAGAACGGCAUCUGAAACUGCAGAUCUUGAGUGUAGGAGGGGAGAGUGGAACUUCUGGUGGAGUGGUGAAAUGCGUAGAUAUCAGAAGGAACGUCGGCGGCGAAAGCGACUCUCUGGCCUAUUACUGACACUGAGGUGCGAAAGUUAGGGGAGCAAACGGGAUUAGAUACCCCGGUAGUCCUAACCGUAAACGAUGGGCACUAAGUAGAGGGAAUUACCAAUGUUCUCUCUGCCGUAGCUAACGCAUUAAGUGCCCCGCCUGGGGAGUACGGCCGCAAGGCUAAAACUCAAAAGAAUUGACGGGGGCUCGCACAAGCGGUGGAGCAUGUGGCUUAAUUCGAUGCAACGCGAAAAACCUUACCGGGGUUUGACAUGGUAGAAGUAGGAGCCCGAAAGGGUAACCAACGGUAUCCAGUCCGUAACUAUCACAGGUGUUGCAUGGCUGUCGUCAGCUCGUGUCGUGAGACGUUGGGUUAAGUCCCCUAACGAGCGAAACCCUUGUUUUUAGUUACCAUCGGGUUAUGCCGGGUACUCUAGAAAGACUGCCGUCGUCAAGACGGAGGAAGGUGGGGAUGACGUCAAGUCAUCAUGGCCCUUAUACCCCGGGCUGCACACGUGCUACAAUGGUCGGUACAAAAGGAAGCAAGACCGAGAGGUGGAGCGAAUCCUAAAAAGCCGAUCUCAGUUCGGAUUGGAGGCUGAAAUUCGCCUCCAUGAAGUUGGAAUCGCUAGUAAUCGCGGAUCAUCAGCGCCGCGGUGAAUAUGUUCCCGAGCCUUGUACACACCGCCCGUCAAGCCACCCAAGUAAGAUGCACCUGAAAACAUUUAUCUAACCACUUGUGGAGGAAAAUGUUGAAGGAGUGUUUUGUGAGGAGGACUAAGUCGUAACAAGGUAGUCGUAGGAGAACCUGCGGCUGGAUCACCUCCUUUCUAAGGAAUUAGAAAAUUAAAGUUGGUACAUCCAACGCUUUUUAUGCUGUUAUUUUUACAUAUAGUUUGUUAUUUGGGGUUGCUAAACCGUCUCGGAAAUUUCGAGAAACAAGAGGGGCCUAUAGCUCAGCUGGUUUAGAGCGUUCCCCUGAUAAGGGAGAGGUCAGUGGUUCGAAUCCACUUAGGCCCACCAUCCUCAGAAUUUUGUUAAUUUUGAAUGAAUCCUUUCUGGGGAGUAGCUCAACUGGGAGAGCGCGGCCCUUGCAAGGCCGAGGUUAGCGGUUCGAUCCCGCUCAUCUCCAUAAGUUAUAAAUGGUAGUAAGCAUUUCGAUGUAUUGUUCUUUGAAAAUUAGAUAAUAUAAAAACUACAAACGAAAAUUGGGUGAUUAAGCUACUAAGGGUGUAUGGUGGAUGUCUUGGUACUAAAAGCUGAUGAAGGACGUGGAAGGCUGCGAUAAGCUUCGGAGAGCUGUCAAACAAGCUUUGAUCCGGAGAUCUCCGAAUUGGGAAACCGGUCGUAAAGAAUGAAAUACUUCUUUUUGGUUAAUACCGCGACGUUGUUAUCUGAAUAAAUAGGAUAAUGAAAGGAACGAAGGGAACUGAAACAUCUAAGUACCUCCAG